rnacentral:sRNA from 1 species
CCUGAAUGUUAGGAGCAAAACCACCUUCAUCACCAACAUUGGUGGCAUCCUGACCAUACUUCUUCUUGAUAACAGACUGUUGUGGUACACUUCAACACCCAUCUUCAUGGCCUCCUUGAAUGAAGCGGCCCCAGUAGGAAGGAUCAUGAACUCCUGCAUGGCAAGCUUGUUUCCAGCAUGUGAUCCACCGUUAAUGACGUUGAAUGCAGGUACGGGCAAAACCAGUUGCUUGUUUCCAGCAAGGUUGGCAAUGUGCUG